rnacentral:rRNA from 1 species
UCGCCUGUUUAUCAAAAACAUGUCUUAUUGAUAUAAAUAAUAAGUCGAUUUCUGCCCAUUGAAAAAUAAAUUUUAAAGGCUGCGGUAUAUUAACUGUACAAAGGUAGCAAAAUCAAUAGUUUUUUAAUUGAAAACUUGAAUGAAAGAGUUGAUAAAAUAUAAAUUGUCUUAAUUUAAUUGAAUUGAAUUUAAAUUAAAAGUAAAAAUGCUUUUAUUUUUUUAUUAGACGAUAAGACCCUAUAGA